AGAUAGAAAAUAGGUGCCCGUACCGCAAACCGACACAGGUAGUCAAGAUGAGAAUUCUAAGGUGAGCGAGCGAACUCUCGUUAAGGAACUCGGCAAAAUGACCCCGUAACUUCGGGAGAAGGGGUGCUCUUUAGGGUUAACGCCCAGAAGAGCCGCAGUGAAUAGGCCCAAGCGACUGUUUAUCAAAAACACAGGUCUCUGCUAAACCGUAAGGUGAUGUAUAGGGGCUGACGCCUGCCCGGUGCUGGAAGGUUAAGAGGAGUGGUUAGCUUCUGCGAAGCUACGAAUCGAAGCCCCAGUAAACGGCGGCCGUAACUAUAACGGUCCUAAGGUAGCGAAAUUCCUUGUCGGGUAAGUUCCGACCCGCACGAAAGGCGUAACGAUUUGGGCACUGUCUCAACGAGAGACUCGGUGAAAUCAUAGUACCUGUGAAGAUGCAGGUUACCCGCGACAGGACGGAAAGACCCCGUGGAGCUUUACUGUAGCCUGAUAUUGAAAUUCGGCACAGCUUGUACAGGAUAGGUAGGAGCCUUUGAAACGUGAGCGCUAGCUUACGUGGAGGCGCUGGUGGGAUACUACCCUAG
rnacentral:rRNA from 1 species